GGCCCCGCAGCGGGAGCGCUCGGCCCGGCCGGCCCGGGGCCGCUCUUCCCGCCCCUGCCCUCGGUGUCAACGUGGGGUUUUGUGCACAAGACAAAGCCCCCAGAUAAGGAAAACUUCGAGGCCAAGUGCUCGUUCCGGGUAAACAAUACGCGCUGUCCCUGCGGACCCGGGUGUCCUGCAAGAAAGAGCGGGCGGUGAUUUAUCUCUGGGAGCGUUUUUACGUUAAAUACAUUUCUCACACUCCCGGAGGUGCACGUGGAAAUAUUAUUCGUCACCUCUCCAGAUCACAUCCCAUGCACUCCUUUCUCGUACUGAUUACGAUCCUGCGGAAGAUCCGCGUCCCCCUUCCCCUCCCCGCUCCCCAGUUGCUGACACAGUAGGGCGAAGCACAAAAUCUUUCUAAAAGACAUCGAUGGUGUGGGCGAAACGAGAGGGAUUCCACAGGAGAAAGAGUAGGCCGGGGCACGGCUCCGUCUGGGGGUAACAUUCUCUUUUCAUUUGAACCUACUCGGUCAUGGAAGGAAUCGCAUUCGGGAUUAAUUUGUCGGGUAAUAUGAUAAGUGACGUUAAGCAGAAUAGAAAUAUAAUUGCGUUGCCAAAGUCACGCGUAAGUUGGGAUGGUGCGGACCGGGCACAGCGCACGAUAUAGAGGCAGCUUUCCAGAAAACGUGCCACGGAGAGCUUGGGGCUGAAAUGACGACUGCCUUAUUGUCACUGACAAUGGCACGCUGCAAACCGAGCUUGGCAAGGAGCGCUCAGGUCCUGCAGCAGCCGGGUGGGGGAAAAAAAAAAACCUCAUCCCCUUAAGCAAAAAAGUAUCGGGGCGCGGGAGACACCACGCGAUGUGCAGCCGAACCUGAAUCGUCAAAUACAAACAAAGCCCCUGCGCUCCCAUCAUGGCGUGUGAGGCGGAAGGGACCCGGAACAUUUGUAAAAGCUCCGGGCUUCGGGUUUUUUUUUAAUUUGUUGGCUGUUUUUAUCCCCUCGCGGAUCGUCACGAUCGAAUUUCGGAGGGGCGCAGCCCACCUCGCACUGGCUGUGAGCACGGGCACAUAAAGGAAAGCAUUCCAAAUAUUUCACAUGAAUGCACUUUAUGCAAGGUGGGUGGGAAAAGGCUCACGGCUCCGCGCUUCGAGCGUGUCCCUUCCUCCGGAAUACCCACUGACGGUCUCCGCUAACAUUUGCACAGAGGAUUGGUAAACACCUGGCAUCGGGGAGAGGUUAAAAAUAAGGUCUCGGAGAAAUUGAUGCGGGUCCGUAACCAAAUGCUGUCGGUAUACAGCGGUGCAUAUGCACGCACGCAUAUAAUCUAAUUACAGCUUCACGUAAGGCAACAAUUUGACCUUCAGCGUCUACGUUGAGACAACAAAUCAAGGAUAUUAGUGUAGUACAAGCAAGCAGUAAGUUAGGAGGCCCCAGGGAAAGCCAUCCUCGUAAGCGCUCCGGUUGUGCAACGUGAGUUACAAUCAGGUAAAGGCGGCUGCGGCGCGUUCUGCUUCCUCCGGAGUUGCAAAACGUUAAACUUCUCUUAACCCCGAGAGAGAGGCGCCGAGCAGCCCUCGUGCAGUCAGAGAGCAGCGGGGAGAGGGCAGCGCUUCCGCAGCCGCCCGGGUUGCAUUCUCGGAACGCCUCGGUAAAGAGGAGCCAGCCGAGCUGUAUUCCUUUCCCGAGAGAGGGUUUUCUUACGUGGGAACCCCACCCGCAGGGGAGAGGACACGGUGCGGUCCUUCCCAGGGCGGCCCGGGCACAGAUGUGCGGCGAUGCGGACGCUCAGAGUACUCCGGGCGACGGAGAAGCGCGGGACCCAACCCGCCAUGUUACCCCCCCACUUGUAGCUGCGCAAAACCGUUCUCUGCUCGGAAAUUGUGGCAUAAUCCCCCGUCUCCGGGAGUGGAUUAAGAAACGGUGGAACCAUAAAGGCCCCGCAGGAGUUUUCACAAUACAGCAAUUAAUCACCGAGAACGUUAAAGUGAAAAGUACAGACGCGCGGAAUUAUGUUUAAUAAACGCACGGCUCCGAUCGCGGCUCUGCCCUGAACCUGCCUCGCCGAUGUAGGUCACUUUCCCCAAGAAUUUAACCAUUUUCUGCUUCAGAGACUUCAAACAGUGAGGCCGUUAAAGAGCAGUAAAAGUUUGUUUACUUAAGAAAAACGCCGUCAUUAGGGGAUGAGCUCCGCCGGGCGAAGGCUGUACCUGUUCCGAUCCGGCUGCAAGCUGCGUGACCCGGGGCCGCUCCUUUCUUCUCGCAAAGGGGCCGAGAACGAAGAGAGGAACCCAGCUCCGCUUUGCCCCCCACCCCCCACCCCCGCCCAGAUGAGCUACUCACAGAGCGAUGGAAAAAUAAUUAGGUGACGAGUGAUGCUCGCUGUAAAACCUCUGCGCUAUGCUUAGGCGAUACGAUACGAAAUUAGGAUAGAUGUCAUGCAUAUUACAGCACGUCGGGUCGUAUCGUAAAAACGCGGCUCCUCGAAGGUCGGGCCGCAGCGAGCGUGGGGGGAAGGGGACUUUUAGGAACUGGAGGGCGAAAAAAAUCGUUUGGCUGUAAGCAGAUCUUACAAUAGGAUUAUGGAGUUUCCCUCGCAGUGCAUAAGGCAGUACAGGAGGGGGUGGGGGUGGAAAACCCGACACUGGAACAGAUUAAAUGUUCCAAAAGGGGCUUAUUUCUUAUCGGCCCUAGGAAAAAAAAAAAGAAAAAAGAAAAGAAAAAAAAAAAAGAGGAAAAAAAAGAAAGAAAAAAAAAAGAAAAAAGAAACAAACCAACCCAGCGCUACAGACCACAAACACCGGCUGCUAAACUAAUUAAUACAAGUUCACAAGCUGCUCCUGGAAGUGUGAAAACUUUCUACGUGUCAUUUCAUUAAUUAUAAAUGCUUUCCUGGCCGGAAGAGUUCAAAGACAGUUUUGCGAGAUCGUCCACCGAGUGACUUUAUUUCUGUUAGCCAGAACCAACAGACGCUCCCGACACACACGUCCCAAUUUCGCUUCACAGAUCUGCAAAUGACAUCUCAAACCGUACAGGCCGAAACAAUACCGGGGGUUCUUCUCUUUUUUCCCCUCCCGAGAUUCAGAACUUGCAGCUCCCCGUAUCUGCGAGCACACGGAGUCCGUGGAUGGCAAUGCUCAUUAAAUAUGUCAGUGUUAUUCAGAUCAAACAUUUGAAACUCCCUCUGCCCAAAACAAAACUGUUGAACGAAAAGGUCGCAGCUGUGUUAUUCUCACAACGUUCGACCGGCAGCAUCUCAGCGACAUCACUCAAAACUGACUAGACAAGUUGUAAGUCCUAUUGUUCACUUUUAAUUUGGGAGCUUGCACAAUGAUUUCAUUUUUAUCCCCCCCCCGCCCCAACUACAUCAAACUGCCAACAGGAAAGGGAAAAAAAUGAGAGAGAUCCACGCCCGUGGGAAGCAGCAGCAAUAGCUCUACCGCUCGGUAUGGUCACAGCUCUCCCCGCACAAACCCCACAGCCGCACAACCAGGGAAAAAAAGAAACCAUGGACGAGAAUUCCGAGGUUUGUUCUCGCUCACCUUUUUUCCCCCCCAUCCUCUCCCCCUCCCUCCAAGCGGUACAGAAGCAAACAAACUGGAGAAUUUAUUUUCCAGAAGGACUUGGCGUGCAUUCAACAACAACGCAAAGGACACAUUCAAAAGAAAAAAAAAAUAAAGCAAAACAGUAUGCUGAAUAAUACAGAGAGAGUAAAGAGAGCUUUCCAUA